UACGAAGGGGGCUAGCGUUGCUCGGAAUCACUGGGCGUAAAGCGCACGUAGGCGGAUUGUUAAGUCAGGGGUGAAAUCCUGGAGCUCAACUCCAGAACUGCCUUUGAUACUGGCGAUCUUGAGUCCGGGAGAGGUGAGUGGAACUGCGAGUGUAGAGGUGAAAUUCGUAGAUAUUCGCAAGAACACCAGUGGCGAAGGCGGCUCACUGGCCCGGUACUGACGCUGACGGUGCGAAAGCGUGGGGAGCA
rnacentral:rRNA from 1 species